UCUUUCUUUUGCUGGCGACCGGCGCACGGGUGAGUAACGCGUAUCCAACCUGCCCUUUACUCGGGGAUAGCCUUUCGAAAGAAAGAUUAAUACCCGAUAGUAUAAUGAUUCCGCAUGGUUUCAUUAUUAAAGGAUUCCGGUAAAGGAUGGGGAUGCGUUCCAUUAGGUUGUUGGUGAGGUAACGGCUCACCAAGCCUUCGAUGGAUAGGGGUUCUGAGAGGAAGGUCCCCCACAUUGGAACUGAGACACGGUCCAA
rnacentral:rRNA from 1 species